rnacentral:rRNA from 1 species
UUAAACGGCCGCGGUAUCCUAACCGUGCAAAGGUAGCAUAAUCACUUGUCUCCUAAAUAGAGACUAGAAUGAACGGUAUCAUGAGGACUAACCUGUCUCUUGCAUUUUACCAAUGAAACUGAUCCCCCAGUCCAAAAGCUGGGAUGACACCAUAAGACGAGAAGACCCUGUGGAGCUUACAAACUAGGCUCAUCACAAUGAACACCAAGUUUUCAGUUGGGGCGACUUCGGAGAACAAAAAAUCCUCCGAUAAAACUGACUAGAUAAACACAUCGACCACUACCACUGACCCAGUAGUCUCUUGAUUACCUGACCAACGAACCAAGUUACCCCAGGGAUAACAGCGCCAUCCCCUUCAAGAGUCCACAUCGACAAGGGGGUUUACGACCUCGAUGUUGGAUCCGGACACCCAAAUAGUGCACCCGCUAUUAAUGGUUCGUUUGUUCAACGAUUAA